rnacentral:rRNA from 1 species
AGCGAACGUUAGCGGCGCGCCUAACACAUGCAAGUCGCACGAGAAAGGGCUUCGGCCCCGGUAAAGUGGCGCACGGGUGAGUAACACGUGGGUAAUCUUCCUCCGAGCGGGGGAUAACAUUCCGAAAGGAGUGCUAAUACCGCAUAAGACCACGGAGUCGAAAGACACUGAGGUAAAAGCUGGCCUCUUCACGAAAGCUAGCACUUGGAGAUGAGCCCGCGGCCCAUCAGGCAGUUGGCAGGGUAAUGGCCUACCAAACCUAAGACGGGUAGCUGGUCUGAGAGGAUGAUCAGCCACACUGGAACUGAGACACGGUCCAGACUCCUACGGGAGGCAGCAGUGGGGAAUCUUGCGCAAUGGACGAAAGUCUGACGCAGCGACGCCGCGUGGGUGAUGAAGGCC